ACCAGCAGCCAUAUCACUCUGCAACUUACAACUAGCAACCCACUGAAGCUAAGCAGGUGUGAGCCUGGUUAGUACCUGGAUGUGAGACAUCCUGGGAAAAAAACUAAGUUGCUGCUGGAA
rfam:Lepisosteus oculatus linkage group LG2, whole genome shotgun sequence.